CCUACGGGAGGCAGCAGUGGGGAAUCUUGUGCAAUGGACGAAAGUCUGACACAGCCACGCCGCGUGCGGGAAGAAGGCCUUCGGGUUGUAAACCGCUUUCAGCAGGAACGAAAAUGGCGGUACCUGCAGAAGAAGAUGCGGCCAACUACGUGCCAGCAGCCGCGGUGAUACGUAGGCAUCAAGCGUUGUCCGGAUUUAUUGGGCGUAAAGAGCUCGUAGGCGGUUCAGCAAGUCGGGUGUGAAAACUCUGGGCUUAACCCAGAGCCUGCACUCGAAACUGCUGUGACUAGAGUUCGGUAGGGGAGCAGGGAAUUCCUAGUGUAGCGGUGAAAUGCGCAGAUAUUAGGAGGAACACCAAUGGCGAAGGCACUGCUCUGGGCCGAUACUGACGCUGAGGAGCGAGAGCGUGGGUAGCAAACAGGAUUAGAUACCCUGGUAGUCCACGCCGUAAACGAUGGGCACUAGGUGUGGGUCUCUAACCAACGAGAUCUGCGCCGUCGCUAACGCAUUAAGUGCCCCGCCUGGGGAGUACGGUCGCAAGACUAAAACUUAAGGAAUUGACGG
rnacentral:rRNA from 1 species